GAUGAACGCUGGCGGCGUGCCUAAUACAUGCAAGUCGAGCGAACGGACGAGAAGCUUGCUUUUCUGAUGUUAGCGGCGGACGGGUGAGUAACACGUGGAUAACCUACCUAUAAGACUGGGAUAACUUCGGGAAACCGGAGCUAAUACCGGAUAAUAUUUUGAACCGCAUGGUUCAAGAGUGAAAGACGGUCUUGCUGUCACUUAUAGAUGGAUCCGCGCUGCAUUAGCUAGUUGGUAAGGUAACGGCUUACCAAGGCAACGAUGCAUAGCCGACCUGAGAGGGUGAUCGGCCACACUGGAACUGAGACACGGUCCAGACUCCUACGGGAGGCAGCAGUAGGGAAUCUUCCGCAAUGGGCGAAAGCCUGACGGAGCAACGCCGCGUGAGUGAUGAAGGUCUUCGGAUCGUAAAACUCUGUUAUUAGGGAAGAACACAUGUGUAAGUAACUGUGCACAUCUUGACGGUACCUAAUCAGAAAGCCACGGCUAACUACGUG
rnacentral:rRNA from 1 species